rnacentral:rRNA from 1 species
CUACGGGUCGCUGCAGUGGGGAAUCUUGCGCAAUGGGCGAAAGCCUGACGCAGCAACGCCGCGUGCGGGAUGACGGCCUUCGUGGUUGUAAACCGCUUUCAGCAGGGACGAAAAUGACGGUACCUGCAGAAGAAGCUCCGGCUAACUACGUGCCAGCAGCCGCGGUAAUACGUAGGGGGCAAGGCGUUGUCCGGAUUCAUUGGGCGUAAAGAGCUCGUAGGCGGUUCAGUAAGUCGGGUGUGAAAGCUCCGAGCUCAACUCGGAGAGGCCACCCGAUACUGCUGUGACUCGAGUCCGGUAGAGGAGCGUGGAACUCCUGGUGUAGCGGUGAAAUGCGCAGAUAUCAGGAAGAACACCCGUAGCGAAGGCGGCGCUCUGGGCCGGUACUGACGCUGAGGAGCGAAAGCGUGGGUAGCAAACAGGAUUAGAUACCCCCGUAGUC